rnacentral:rRNA from 1 species
AUGAACGCUAGCUACAGGCUUAACACAUGCAAGUCGAGGGGCAGCAUUUUAGUUUGCUUGCAAACUAAAGAUGGCGACCGGCGCACGGGUGAGUAACACGUAUCCAACCUGCCGAUAACUCGGGGAUAGCCUUUCGAAAGAAAGAUUAAUAUCCGAUAGUAUAUUAAAACCGCAUGGUUUUACUAUUAAAGAAUUUCGGUUAUCGAUGGGGAUGCGUUCCAUUAGUUUGUUGGCGGGGUAACGGCCCACCAAGACUACGAUGGAUAGGGGUUCUGAGAGGAAGGUCCCCCACAUUGGAACUGAGACACGGUCCAAACUCCUACGGGAGGCGGCAGUGAGGAAUAUUGGUCAAUGGACGAGAGUCUGAACCAGCCAAGUAGCGUGAAGGAUGACUGCCCUAUGGGUUGUAAACUUCUUUUAUAUGGGAAUAAAGUAUUCCACGUGUGGGAUUUUGUAUGUACCAUAUGAAUAAGGAUCGGCUAACUCCGUGCCAGCAGCCGCGGUAAUACGGAGGAUCCGAGCGUUAUCCGGAUUUAUUGGGUUUAAAGGGAGCGUAGGUGGAUUGUUAAGUCAGUUGUGAAAGUUUGCGGCUCAACCGUAAAAUUGCAGUUGAAACUGGCAGUCUUGAGUACAGUAGAGGUGGGCGGAAUUCGUGGUGUAGCGGUGAAAUGCUUAGAUAUCACGAAGAACUCCGAUUGCGAAGGCAGCUCACUAGACUGCAACUGACACUGAUGCUCGAAAGUGUGGGUAUCAAACAGGAUUAGAUAUCCUGGUGGUCCACACAGUAAACGAUGAAUACUCGCUGUUUGCGAUAUACAGUAAGCGGCCAAGCGAAAGCAUUAAGUAUUCCACCUGGGGAGUACGCCGGCAACGGUGAAACUCAAAGGAAUUGACGGGGGCCCGCACAAGCGGAGGAACAUGUGGUUUAAUUCGAUGAUACGCGAGGAACCUUACCCGGGCUUAAAUUGCAUUUGAAUAAUCUGGAAACAGGUUAGCCGCAAGGCAAAUGUGAAGGUGCUGCAUGGUUGUCGUCAGCUCGUGCCGUGAGGUGUCGGCUUAAGUGCCAUAACGAGCGCAACCCUUAUCUUUAGUUACUAACAGGUCAUGCUGAGGACUCUAGAGAGACUGCCGUCGUAAGAUGUGAGGAAGGUGGGGAUGACGUCAAAUCAGCACGGCCCUUACGUCCGGGGCUACACACGUGUUACAAUGGGGGGUACAGAAGGCAGCUACCUGGCGACAGGAUGCUAAUCCCAAAAACCUCUCUCAGUUCGGAUCGAAGUCUGCAACCCGACUUCGUGAAGCUGGAUUCGCUAGUAAUCGCGCAUCAGCCAUGGCGCGGUGAAUACGUUCCCGGGCCUUGUACACACCGCCCGUCAAGCCAUGAAAGCCGGGGGUACCUGAAGUACGUAACCGCAAGGAGCGUCCUAGGGUAAAACUGGUAAUUGGGGCU